GAAAAAUGGAAAUAUCUUCUUUCUUCUCUGUUCUUCCGUAAAAUAAAGAAAACGAAAUCGAAAUCGAAAUCGAUGAUGAAUGGGUAAGAUGGUCAGGAACGGAAGACAUUCUGCUGAUUUCAGUUUGAAAGGGUUAGGAAUUGGGUUCCGACUUUCGAUUUCUAAAGCAAGUUGGGAAAAGAUUUGGAAACAGCUGAUGAAGUGCUGCGAAUUUGAUUUAGCUUGGAUUUCUUAUUUUAGCUUGGUUUCUCUUUAUAAAGUACUUGUCAUCCAAGCAUGUGCACCGUCAUAGAGAACUAUAAAUACAAGCAUUCAUGAGGAAACCAAGCACAAUCAAAUUUGUCACAUCUUCUUAAUUCUUUAGACGGCUUAAGGUGAUACUGAAUUCAAGUAUUUCAAGGAAGAAAAAAGGUAGAAUUUUAAUUGGCUGAAGAAGAGGGGAUAGAGACGAGGAAGUGUUGCAAAGAAAGUUUACGGCUAACGAUAAUAAAUUCAAUUCGUGCCGGCCGAGACUACUACUGGAAUUGAGGCAAGUUGACUACUAGUUGAAUUGAGG